UUACGGCUAUAUCACGUUGAAACACCGUUUCGCGUACGAUCACCGAAGUUAAGCAAGUCGAGCCUGGUCAUUACCCAAAUGGGCGGACGCUUGGGAAUACCUGUGGCUGUAAG